UUGGUUAUCAAGACAUCACAAGAAAUCAGCGACGUGCCUUACGAAGAUUAUUUCCGUGUUGAGGGGCUUUGGGACGUUGAGAGAGAUGCUGGAUGAAUCGAAAGAAUGCUGCAUUUUGCAUAUAUAUAUGUGAAUGUGGCAUUUUCCAAGAAAACUGUAUUUAAAGGAAAAAUAGUGCAUUCUACCAUUGAAGAAUGUCGAGAAGCUUAUUUGAACUGGAUAAACAUGGCACAUGAAUUGUUGAAGAAAAAGAACCUUGGUAAAAAAGAAG